GAGGAGACAGCGCCGCAGUUGCCGCCAGCUCGGGAAUUUCUGGCUCUUUUCUCUUCGCCUUAAAUUCGGGUGUCUUUUAUGAAUAAUCAAAAGCAGCAAAAACCAACGCUAUCAGGCCAGCGUUUUAAAACCAGAAAAAGAGGUAAAUAUUUGUAAAUCUCCUUUAAGCUUUCAGACACUUCUCUUGGUUUCUCUCAGUCAGCUGCAUAUAUCACUAUCCCCUCAUGAGAAAAUUGCAGAAACUUGAGUUUCUAUUUAACUACUGUUUCAGAUGAACAGUGUUUUCUACUGCUUUCUCAAAUUUUCAUUUUUUUUUUAGUGUGGAAACUAGUGGCUAAGAUAAAAGCUGUGACUUUAAGCUCAUAGUUUUUAAGGAGAAUUUGAACAGAGAAGGCUAAAAGAGGGGAACACUGCUAAAAUCACUAAUUUCACCUAGACUUUGUGGAGGUAUGUGAAAGGGACUCAGAGUGUCUAACAUGGUCUAGGUCUUGGAAAAUGGGGGGGGGCAGAUUUUAACAGACUAACAUGCUAGGAUUAAAGGCGUGAGUUCCUGUUGGCAACCCAAUCUGGGGGUUGAAUUUAGGAUUCUGUCAGAGGCUGGCAGAGCUCUGAGUUCCAGGAUAGCCAGGACUACACAAACCCUGUCUUUAAGAAACCAACAACAAAAAAAGAAAGUUUAA
rnacentral:lncRNA from 1 species